CUGCAUGAUGUUGGUAACAAUUUCCUGCGAGGUGCUACCUAGAGUCUGCCUGGAGUAUACCUGGACGUGUACCUGGAGGUCAUCCUGAGGGUCAGCGCUCCGCGGCCCAGUCCUUGACCAGAUUCUCUGGAGCAAGUCGGCAUAUGUUUGUGACAUCUUUUUUAGCUUAGGCCUUGUAGGUUUCCGCUUCAGGAUGGAAUAUUUGACAUCUUGAAGAAUGAAGAGUUUCGAACUUUGCCAAUGGUUUGAACAGUUAAAAUAACAAUGAGAUCAAGUUCUUCAGAAAGUUCACAAUAUUUUCACGUUAAGUCUCCAUAAUUAGUGUCACCAGCAUAAGUCAGGGAUGAAAAUGAGGCGUACAUGGACGUGCUUAAGACGCUGGGUUGGCAUAAGUUUACCAUCAUAUACGAAAACAAUAAUGGCCUCGUGAGGGUCAAGAGCUACUCAAAAACCACUUGUGGCAGGUGAACCUCAAGCAACUUCCCUACGAUGAUGACUACAGACCGAUGCUAAAGGAUACCAAGAAGGCAGGAGUGACGCACAUUGUUCUGGACGUCGAGCACAAGAACAUCUUGACCGUACUUAAACAAGCGCAGCAGAUUGGUAUGAUGACCUCCUACCACAACUACUUUAUCACCUCACUGGACCUGCACACAGUGAACUUGGACGACUUCCGUCACAGUGGUACCAAUGUUACCGCCCUGAGGAUAGUUGACCCAGAGAACCCGCUGGUUCAGAGAGUCAUUGAGGACUGGGUAUUCGGAGAGCUCCGCUACGGCCGAACUAUUGAGUUUU